CCUACGGGAGACAGCAGUGAGGAAUAUUGGUCAAUGGGCGGAAGCCUGAACCAGCCAAGUAGCGUGCAGGAUGACGGCCCUACGGGUUGUAAACUGCUUUUAUACGGGAAUAACGCGCCUUACGUGUAGGGCUUUGCAUGUACCGUAUGAAUAAGGACCGGCUAAUUCCGUGCCAGCAGCCGCGGUAAUACGGAUGGUCCGGGCGUUAUCCGGAUUUAUUGGGUUUAAAGGGAGCGUAGGUGGGAUGUAAAGCAUGCUGUGAAAUGUCCGGGCUCAACCCGGGCAUUGCAGCGAGAACUGGCGUGCUUGAGUGCGCGGAAGGCAGGCGGAAUUCGUCGUGUAGCGGUGAAAUGCUUAGAUAUGACGAAGAACCCCGAUUGCGAAGGCAGCUUGCUGGAGUGGAACUGACGCUGAUGCUCGAAAGUGUGGGUAUCGAACAGGAUUAGAUACCCGGGUAGUC
rnacentral:rRNA from 1 species